UGGGGAAUUUUCCGCAAUGGGCGCAAGCCUGACGGAGCAAGACCGCGUGAGGGAGGAAGGCCCUUGGGUUGUAAACCUCUUUUCUCAGGGAAGAAGAAAGUGACGGUACCUGAGGAAUAAGCACCGGCUAACUCCGUGCCAGCAGCCGCGGUAAUACGGAGGGUGCAAGCGUUGUCCGGAAUUAUUGGGUGUAAAGGGUGUGUAGGCGGACUUGUAAGUCAGAGGUGAAAGCCCACGGCUUAACCGUGGAACUGCCUUUGAUACUGCAGGUCUUGAGUCCUGGAGAGGUCGCUGGAAUUCGUGGUGUAGCGGUGAAAUGCGUAGAUAUCACGAGGAACACCAGAGGUGUAGACGGGUGACUGGACAGGAACUGACGCUGAGGCACGAAAGCGUGGGGAGCAAACAGGAUUAGAUACCCCCGUAGUCC
rnacentral:rRNA from 1 species